CAGAGAGCAAGAAUGACACGUCAUCUGCAGGAAGCUCAAGAGGGAUAUCACCUGAUUUCCUAGGAUCGAUGGAAAUAGAAGAUGCGGCCCUGUGACUUAACUAAUGGAAGAAGAUUCAUGUGGCACUCGCUUAAUGCUCUUGAGUGCCACCCAAAGAAGCUGGGCUACAUUGUGGAAAGGUGCUGUUACAUCGUCGGCUCUUGUUGAGACAAUGCUUAUGUGAGUAGUGAUAUUUUUCCUGCAUAUUUAGCUUUUACCUUUGUUUUGUUAUUAUUUGUUGUCUAAUGUGUCAGCGAUGCUGAAUUUGUGCGUUUUCUUGCUGUGUGGA